rnacentral:rRNA from 1 species
AACGCUGGCGGCAGGCCUAACACAUGCAAGUCGCAGGGGAAGCCGCUCUUCGGAGUGGUGGAGACUGGCGCACGGGUGAGGAACGCGUGGGAACCUGCCCUGGGGUGGGGGAUAACCGCUGGAAACGGCGGCUAAUACCGCAUAUCUCCGGACCUUUGGGUUCGGGGAAAGGCUGGUCUUUCGGGAUUGGCCGCCCUGGGAGGGGCCCGCGUUGGAUUAGCUUGUUGGUGGGGUAAAGGCCCACCAAGGCAUCGAUCCAUAGCUGGUCUAAGAGGAUGAUCAGCCACACUGGGACUGAGACACGGCCCAGACUCCUACGGGAGGCAGCAGUGGGGAAUAUUGGACAAUGGGCGCAAGCCUGAUCCAGCCAUGCCGCGUGAGUGAAGAAGGCCUUAGGGUUGUAAAGCUCUUUCACCCGCGAAGAUGAUGACGGUAGC